AGUUUGAUCCUGGCUCAGGAUGAACGCUGGCGGCGUGCUUAACACAUGCAAGUCGAACGAAGCACUUUAUUACGAUCCCUUCGGGGUGACGAUUUUGUGACUGAGUGGCGGACGGGUGAGUAACGCGUGGGUAACCUGCCUCAUACAGAGGGAUAACAGUUGGAAACGGCUGCUAAUACCUCAUAAGCGCACAGUACCGCAUGGUACAGUGUGAAAAACUCCGGUGGUAUGAGAUGGACCCGCGUCUGAUUAGCUAGUUGGAGGGGUAACGGCCCACCAAGGCAACGAUCAGUAGCCGACUUGAGAGAGUGAUCGGCCACAUUGGGACUGAGACACGGCCCAAACUCCUACGGGAGGCAGCAGUGGGGAAUAUUGCACAAUGGGGGAAACCCUGAUGCAGCGACGCCGCGUGAAGGAUGAAGUAUUUCGGUAUGUAAACUUCUAUCAGCAAGGAAGAAAAUGACGGUACUUGACUAAGAAGCCCCGGCUAAAUACGUGCC
rnacentral:rRNA from 1 species